UCUGAACUCUGAACUGGAAAAGAUUGUGUUUUCAGACUCUGAACUGGAAAAGAUCCUCUUUUGUGCUUUUGUGCCAAGUCCAGGGAACCGGAAACACAGGGGACCUUAGAUAACAAAGAAGCACAAAGUGGAAGAGGAAACAGGAAGUGCAAAGAGAGAGAUGGCUGGUCUGAAGAAAAACAGUCUUCCUUUCACUGGAGAUCCUAGCAAUGUUGAUGGAUGGGUUAAGAGGGCAGGCUGUAGAAGUCACAUGAGAGCUACUGGAUUCAAGGUUGUUAGGUGUCUUUAUUCAGAUUAUAUUGCAUUCCGUAAAUGUAUUUCUGAAUGUUUUCCAGUCCAAAAUCUGUAAAUCAAAUGAUUGCUAUUCAAGUGAUAUAAGAUUAAAUUUCCAGAAUUGUUUGCAGCUGUGAGUUACAAGGAAUGCAAUUGUUUCUUUUUGCUUUUCCACAUCUGCUUAUGGCAGUGUGAUAAUUAUGUGUU